AGUCAAGUGAAUAAGUGCAUCAGGUGGAUGCCUUGGCGAUGAUAGGCGAAGAAGGACGUGUAAGCCUGCGAAAAGCACGGAGAAGCUGGCAAAAAAGCAAUGAUACCGUGAUGUCCGAAUGGGGAAACCCACUGCACUCGUGCAGUAUCCUAGUCUGAAUACAUAGGGCUAGAGAAGCGAACCUGGAGAACUGAACCAUCUAAGUACCCAGAGGAAAAGAAAUCAACAGAGAUUCCGCAAGUAGUGGCGAGCGAACGCGGAAAAGCCUGUAUAUGAUCUGUCUCUUAUACACAUCU
rnacentral:rRNA from 1 species